rnacentral:rRNA from 1 species
GUAGUUAGCCGGGGCUUCCUCCUUGGCUACCGUCACUUUCUUCGUCACCAAGGACAGAGGUUUACAAUCCGAAGACCUUCUUCCCUCACGCGGCGUUGCUGGGUCAGGCUUGCGCCCAUUGCCCAAUAUUCCCCACUGCUGCCUCCCGUAGGAGUCUGGACCGUGUCUCAGUUCCAGUGUGGCCGAUCAGCCUCUCAGCUCGGCUACCCAUCGUUGGCUAGGUGGGCCGUUACCCCGCCUACUACCUAAUGGGACGCGAACCCCUCCUUCUGCGGAUUGCUCCUUUGACCCCUGAGCCAUGCGACUCUGUGGUCUUAUGCGGUAUUAGCACUUGUUUCCAGGUGUUAUCCCCCUCAAAAGGGCAGGUUGUUCACGCGUUACUCACCCGUUCGCCACUAGCUAUAAAUCCGAAAACCUAUAGCCCGUUCGACUUGCAUGUGUUAAGCACGCCGCCAGCGUUCAUCCUGAGCCANANACACUACUCACUAGAGACGGCGGCGCGACGACGCGACAG